rnacentral:rRNA from 1 species
GACGAACGCUGGCGGCGUGCUUAACACAUGCAAGUCGAACGGAAAGGCCCUGCUUUUGUGGGGUGCUCGAGUGGCGAACGGGUGAGUAACACGUGAGUAACCUGCCCUUGACUUUGGGAUAACUUCAGGAAACUGGGGCUAAUACCGGAUAGGAUCUCCUGCUGCAUGGUGGGGGUUGGAAAGUUUCGGCGGUUGGGGAUGGACUCGCGGCUUAUCAGCUUGUUGGUGGGGUAGUGGCUUACCAAGGCUUUGACGGGUAGCCGGCCUGAGCGGGUGACCGGCCACAUUGGGACUGAGAGACGGCACAGACUGCUAAGGGAGGCAGAAGUGGGGAAUAUUGAAGAAUGGGCGGAAGCCUGAUGCAGCAACGCCGCGUGCGGGAUGACGGCCUUCGGGUUGUAAACCGAUUUCGCAUGUGACGAAGCGUGAGUGACGGUAAUGGGUAAAGAAGCACAGGCUAAAUACGUG